rnacentral:lncRNA from 1 species
AUUCUUGCUCUGUAAAGCUCGCUCUCUCACACACACACAGAUAGAAGAGAAAGCCUUGCACACAUAAACAUACCCAGCCAGUGAAAGAGCAAAAGAGAGCAGCAAGCAAAGAAGCAAAACAGGCAGGCAGAGAAGACAGUAGCCAAGAAAUCCACAUAUUGGGAUUACACAGCUGGCAGCCAGCAUGGUCAUCCUCAGCUGUGUGGCAUUGGGACUUUACCUUCAACUCCUUUUCUGCUUUGCUCUGUCUCAGAAUUCUUUUGUUGACAGUGUCUUCUCAAUUUCCACAGCCCUCCCUUGCCUGGACCAGAAGAAACGGAUUAAUAAUCACAGAACCUGCUGUCUCCUUGGCCUCCCUCCUCCUCCAAUACCUCCUCCUCCGCCACCGCUAUUUCCUCUAUCACAGUUCCAGGGAGCAUGGAGUUCUGUAAGCAUUGCUUCAAGCAUUUCUCUUUCCUGUAAUGAUGACAGCUUAUUCUUCCUUGUGAGUUCGAGGAAACUGUCAUGCAGCACAAUCCAUGGUCAAAGCCUGAUGACAAGAUUUAUUAGGACUGCACAAGAGUGUGCACCGAACGGGGUCCCACUUUUUUUUGGGGGGGGAGAUUGUUUGUCCAGGUCUAGUCCUCCUUCUAUCUUUAAAUCUUUAACAACCACACUGCCCAUCAUUCUUCUUCGAUAAACCUAUUUUACCAUAUCAACAGGUUGGGGAUAAAGUUGC